UGCUCCCGGGCGACGCGCCCAAUGCAAACUUUAGCUUCUCCCGGCCUGGCGCCCGCUGGAGGGCCGGAAGCGGGAGAGCGCCUUCCUGAAAAGUGUUUCUCGCUGCUCCUCCAGGAAAAGGAUCACGAGGUUUCUUUUUCUUUUUUUUUUUUUUCCUUGAGUCACGUUGGAAGAAUUCAGAGAAGCUCUUUGCUGCAGCCCGGUGGCCGCUGAUAGAACCUGGACAACGGAGCAGAGAUGUGGCUUAGAGGGUCCCCAGGGUGCACGGAGCCAGGCCUGGCCGAGGGUGGAGUCGCGGCGGAGACCCACGCAUGGCACCCUCUUUGCCAGGCGCUUUUCAUAGAUUUUCAAAGGAGGAAAGAGAGUGAAAAACAAAAAGUCUGCUGAGCUCCUGCUCUGCUCACAUUCCUGCAUGGCAGAGAUGACGGUGCUUUCACCUCCCACCCCCGGCAUCCUCCUGCUCAAAACCACUAGGGGACCUUUUGAAACCGCACCUGACUCUGCUCUCACAGUACACGUUUGUGAUACACUCACGGAUGUCUCCAGAGCACAGCUUGUCAGGCAGUGCAAGCACCACCUUGUGACUGCGGUCCAAGGCCAGAGGCCCCACCCUGUCCUUCUGCACCCAGUGUUCUUGAAUCACUCAAAUGCAGGGGCAGAGCCCUUGCGCGGUAGCUGUGCAGCCUAGAAUGGAUGGCUUAACCCCUCUGGUCCCUGAAUCCUUCACCUACAAAAAGGACAUCUUGGCCAGGCAUGGUGGCGCACACCUGUAAUCCCAGCACUUGGAAGGCUGAAGCAAGAGGAUUGCU